rnacentral:rRNA from 1 species
ACUUCGGUCAAGUUGAACGGAUGACUUAGUGGCGGACGGGUGAGUAACGCGUGAGGAACCUGCCUUUCAGUGGGGGACAACAGUUGGAAACGACUGCUAAUACCGCAUAAUGUAUUCUGACCGCAUGAUCGGAAUACCAAAGAUUUAUUGCUGAAAGAUGGCCUCGCGUCUGAUUAGAUAGUUGGUGAGGUAACGGCCCACCAAGUCAACGAUCAGUAGCCGGACUGAGAGGUUGAACGGCCACAUUGGGACUGAGAUACGGCCCAGACUCC